rnacentral:rRNA from 6 species
CUCGGCAACGGAUAUCUCGGCUCUCGCAUCGAUGAAGAACGUAGCGAAAUGCGAUACUUGGUGUGAAUUGCAGAAUCCCGUGAACCAUCGAGUCUUUGAACGCAAGUUGCGCCCGACGCCAUUCGGCCGAGGGCACGUCUGCCUGGGUGUCACGC